UUGUAAAGAACUCUCCCUAUAUAUAGCCAAUUACACUCACAAGCUCUUCAUUCACUUCUUACCAAAUUCCAUCCAUCUUCAAAUACACAAAAGCGGAAAUUCAAAUUUCUAUCAAUGGAGAAGAGAAUUAAGAUCAACGGCGGAGAUUUGUCGAAUAAAUACACGAGGAGGCUUAUUCCAAGGAGGGGUCAAGUGAAGGCUGGGAUUAUGUUGUGUUUGGCUCAUUCACUAGCUGUCAUUUUCUCUGUUAGAAGAAACCCUCCUUCCACCUCUCACUUUUGAGCAUCUUUUCGUGAGCAUGGUUGGAUUCAGUACGACUCCAAAUAGACCUUAAUUUAGACAAAACAAGCUAGUCGAGUCAACAUCUAAUUUUUGCCAAUUUUGGUUGUAUGCUUUGACGCCUUUGAUAAUUUCCCAGUGAGAAUCGUUUUAAGGUUUGAAAUGAGAUAUUACUCUUCGUUUUUGGACCAAAUUCAAUUUUCUAUUUUUCAAAUUGAUAAUAAUGUGCUCGGAUAUUCAAAUUUUGAUGCACACUUAGAAGUGUCAAAAUGCAUCGAUUUGAACAACUUGAGCUAGACAAGCAUGACUCGAUAAAUGUGUUCUCUAGGGUCAGCCAUACCACGUAAUGGUAAACUUUGGGUUAUGUGAAUGUAUUUUGAGUAAUUGAUUAAUGUCGAAUUAAAUAAAAACAAAUCAAAAAUUAAUGAGAAAAAAAGUAGCUAAUCAAAUUGCCAAGUGCCCAAUUUUGGUUGUAUGCUUUGACACCUUUGAUAAUUUCCCAGUGAGAAUCGUUUUAAGGUUUGAAAUGAGAUAUUUCUCUUCGUUUUUGGACCAAAUUCAAUUUUCUAUUUUUCAAAUUGAUAAUAAUGUGCUCGGAUAUUCAAAUUUUGAUGCACACUUAGAAGUGUCAAAAUGCAUCGAUUUGAACAACUUGAGCUAGACAAGCAUGACUCGAUAAAUGUGUUCUCUAGGGUCAGCCAUACCACG
rnacentral:lncRNA from 1 species